rnacentral:lncRNA from 1 species
AUUUUUUUCGAUUUUUUUGGAAUUUUUUUCGAUUUUUUUGGAAUAUUUUCGAUUUUUUUUCGAAUUUUUUUUCAAAUUUUUUUUCGAUUUUUUUCGUACUUUUUCGAUUUUUUUUUAAUUUUUUCCGUUUUUUUUAUUUUUUUUCGAAUUUUUUUCGAUUUUUUUUGAAUUUUUUUCGAAUUUUUUCCUAUUUUUUCUGCGGAUUUUUUUCCAAUUUUUUUUUCUAUUUUCUCUUCACUUCUCUUGUUUUUCGAGUAUCUUCGAAUUGUUUUCAAAUUUUUUUUCAAAUUUUUUUCGAUUUUUUUUUUGGGGGGUUUUCAGAUCUUUUUUGGAAAUUUUUUAAAUUUUUUUUCGAUUUUUUUCUGAGCUUUUUUGGAUUUUUUUUUUCCAUUUUUAAAAAUCUGUUUUUCAAGUUUUUUUUCAAAUUUUUUGGAAUUUUUGGGGUCCCACCAGGAUGAAUUUCGGGGUCCCAGGAUGGAUUUCAGGGUCCUGGGUGGGAUUUCGGGCUCUCGGGGCUGGAUUCGGGGUGCCCGGGAUGGAUUUGGGGUCCCGGGGUUGGAUUUCGGGGUCCCGGGGCGGAUUUUGGGGUGCCCGGAUGGAUUCGGGGUGCCGGGAUGGAUUGGGGGUGCCCGGAUGGAUUUUGGGCUCUCAGGGAUGGAUUUCGGGGUCUCCCAGAUGAAUUUCGGGGUGCCGGGAUGGAUUUCAGGGUCCCAGGAUGGAUUUCAGGGUGUCCCAGGAUGAAUUUCGGGGUGCCCGGGGCUGGAUUUCGGGGUGUUCAAGGAUGGAUUUCGGGGUGCCCGGAUGGAUUUCGGGGUGCCCGGAUGGAUUGGGGGUGCCUGGAUGGAUUUUGGCCUCUCAGGGUUGGAUUUCGGGGUGUCCCAGAUGAAUUUUGGGGUCCCGGACGGAUUUGGGGUGCCGGGAUGGAUUCGGGGUGCCCGGACGGAUUCGGGGUGUCCCAGAUGAAUUUCAGGGUGCCAGGAUGGAUUUCAGGGUCCCAGGGCUGGAUUUCGGGGUGUUCAAGGAUGGAUUUCAGGGUCCCAGGGAUGGAUUUCGGGGUGCCGGGUUGGAUUUGGGGUGCCCGGAUGGAUUUUGGGCUCUCAGGGAUGGAUUUCGGGGUAUCCCAGAUGAAUUUUGGGGUGUCCCAGAUGGAUUUCGGGGUGUCCCAGAUGAAUUUCGGGGUCCCGGAUGGAUUGGGGGUGUCCCAGGAUGGAUUUUGGGCUCUCAGGGAUGGAUUUCAGGGUGUCCCAGAUGAAUUUUGGGGUCCCGGGUGNUCUCAGGGAUGGAUUUCAGGGUGUCCCAGAUGAAUUUUGGGGUCCCGGGUGGAUUUCGGGGUGCCGCUCACCGUCAGCGCCAGCGCCAGGCUCCCGGCGCAGCCCAUCAUGCCCAGCAGCCCC